rnacentral:rRNA from 1 species
UACGGAGGGUGCAAGCGUUAUCCGGAAUCACUGGGUUUAAAGGGUGCGUAGGCGGAGUAUUAAGUCAGUGGUGAAAGCUGGUCGCUUAACGAUCAAACUGCCAUUGAUACUGGUACUCUUGAAUUAAGUUGAGGUUAGCGGAAUGUGACAUGUAGCGGUGAAAUGCAUAGAUAUGUCAUGGAACACCAAUUGCGAAGGCAGCUAGCUGGGCUUUGAUUGACGCUGAGGCACGAAAGCGUGGGUAGCGAACAGG